GGCCAUACCAUGUUGAAUAUACCGGUUCUCGUUAGAUCACCGAAGUCAAGCAUCAUUGGGCGCGGUCAGUACUUGGGUGGGUGACCACCUGGGUACACCGCUUGCCGU
rnacentral:rRNA from 1 species